rnacentral:lncRNA from 1 species
GUUCCUUGUGGGUGCGGUCGCUGCGCAAGGGUCACCUUACCUCCCCGCCCCACACCUGCGAGUCUCCCCCACCCAACCCCACAGCUGGGGCCGCCUGGGAGAUUUUCUCAUUGCCUCCUUUCGUCUAAUCCCCACACUACCCUCGGGCCUGGGUAAAGAGGCCUAAACUGCAUCCUGCACUCUUGUUGGAUGAAUUUAGGGAUCGAACUCGAGACCUUCCGCUUUCGAGGCAGGCGCCAGAACCACUGAGCUAAAUCCCCGGCUGCCCAACUACAGAUGUGCUUUCUCUAUAGAUUCAUUUGCAUUUUCUAGAAUUUUGUUUUUUGUACCAGGAAUCAAACUUUGCCAGUGAGAUGCCUUGAACACAGGACGGGUAUGGUGGAGAGCAUUUCAAAUAACCAAAAAACCACAGAGUGGGUCAAUUUGUCAGCCUCUCGAGGAGGAAAGCCAGCAGUUAAUUCCUCCCCAGACACAACAGCCCGAGACUGCGCUUCAGAAGUUUGACUCUGAGGUCUCCUUCUCCGGCAGCAAGCUCUGCGGAAGUUCCUUUCCUCCUUCCUGCUGUCUCUGUGCCUCUUCCUUUAGACCUCCAGCCUCUGGAGAAUGGCUUCCUGUUUCUUGAGUUCUUCCAAAGAGUGCAGCUCCAAGUGCACCUGGUUGAUUUGGUCCCACAGG